rnacentral:rRNA from 1 species
UACGAAGGGGGCUAGCGUUGCUCGGAAUUACUGGGCGUAAAGCGCACGUAGGCGGCUCUUUAAGUCGGGGGUGAAAUCCUGGAGCUCAACUCCAGAACUGCCUUCGAUACUGUAGAGCUUGAGUUCGGGAGAGGUGAGUGGAACUGCGAGUGUAGAGGUGAAAUUCGUAGAUAUUCGCAAGAACACCCGUGGCGAAAGCGGCGCGCUGGACCACUACUGACGCUGAGGAACGAAAGCUAGGGGAGCAAACAGG